rnacentral:rRNA from 1 species
AGAUUUAGUGGCGAACGGGUGAGGAUCACGUGAGAAACCUGUCCUGGACUCUGGGAUAACAGUUGGAAACGACUGCUAAUACCGAAUGACGUCGGAGAACCGCAUGGUUCACUGACGAAAGGAAAUCCGGUUUGGGAGGGUCUCGCGGCCUAUCAGCUAGUUGGCGGGGUAAUGGCCCACCAAGGCAACGACGGGUAGCUGGUCUGAGAGGAUGGUCAGCCACACUGGGACUGAGACACGGCCCAGACUCC